CUUCCAGACUCCUACGGGAGGCAGCAGUGAGGAAUAUUGGUCAAUGGCCGGAAGGCUGAACCAGCCAUGCCGCGUGAAGGUCAGUGCCCUAUGGGCGUUAAACUUCUUUUGUGCGGGAGCAAUAAUGGUCACGUGUGGCCAGACGAGAGUACCGUACGAAUAAGCAUCGGCUAACUCCGUGCCAGCAGCCGCGGUAAUACGGGGGAUGCAAGCGUUAUCCGGAUUUAUUGGGUUUAAAGGGUGCGCAGGCGGUUCUGUAAGAGCGGGGGAAAACGCCGGGGCCCCACCCCCGCCCCGCCGUUGAAACUGGCAGUCUCGAGUUGGAGAGAAGUAUGCGGAAUGCGCGGUGUAGCGGUGAAAUGCAUAGAUAUCGCGCAGAACUCCGAUUGCGAAGGCAGCAUGCCGGCUCCACACUGACGCUGAGGCACGAAAGCGUGGGUAUCGAACAGGAUUAGAUACCCGAGUA
rnacentral:rRNA from 1 species